rnacentral:rRNA from 1 species
ACGGGAGGCAGCAGUGGGGAAUAUUGCACAAUGGGCGAAAGCCUGAUGCAGCGACGCCGCGUGAGCGAAGAAGUAUUUCGGUAUGUAAGGCUCUAUCAGCAGGGAAGAAAAAUGACGGUACCUGACUAAGAAGCACCGGCUAAAUACGUGCCAGCAGCCGCGGUAAUACGUAUGGUGCAAGCGUUAUCCGGAUUUACUGGGUGUAAAGGGAGCGCAGGCGGUACGGCAAGUCUGAUGUGAAAGCCCGGGGCUCAACCCCGGUACUGCAUUGGAAACUGUCGAACUAGAGUGUCGGAGGGGUAAGUGGAAUUCCUAGUGUAGUGGUGAAAUGCGUAGAUAUUAGGAGGAACACCAGUGGCGAAGGCGGCUUACUGGACGAUCACUGACGCUGAGGCUCGAAAGCGUGGGGAGCAAACAGGAUUAGAUACCCUGGUA